ACAGGGAAUUGGAUUAUUUAGAAGGGGGAUGUUAUGGCUUAUAUCUAGAUGCCCUCCCAAAGCUCAUAUGUGGGCUUGCGGAAGGUGAUUCAAUUAUGGGGGCUUAUAGCUGUGCUGUUAAGAGGUGGAGUCUGGUCAGAAGAAGUAAAUCAGUAGGAGAGGCCUGGAAGGGUUUACCUUACUCCUCAGCUCCUCCCUUCUCUCUCUACUUUCUGGAUGCCAUGAGACGAUCAGCUUUUCUUCUGCCACGCCCCUGUGCCAUGCCAUCCUGCCAUGGAGCCAGAUGAACAUGGUCUGAAAUAUGUUGUCUUCAACUUUCUUGCUUCCUAUGCUACAAGGAAUGAACCUGAUCCUUUCUGUCCUGCAGCUCCAGGUCCAGAAACACAUGUGUAAAAUAUUCUUGAAGAAAAGCAGUGUUCUCAUCACAAAAAUGACAACUAUGUGAGCUGUCUUCUCACUGUGUUGUCAUGUGUAGGAAGGCAAGGAAGCUGCCAAGCUGUCUCCAGCAUCUGUUAAAAGGACAUUAAUCCCAUUUGUGGGAACUCUACUGUCAUGACCUGACCACCUGUCUAAAGCACCACUUCCUACCACCACCAUACUGAGAGUUAAGAGUUCAACAUAUGAAUUUU
ensembl:lncRNA